rnacentral:rRNA from 1 species
UACGGAGGGAGCUAGCGUUGUUCGGAAUUACUGGGCGUAAAGCGCACGCAGGCGGCUUUGUAAGUUAGAGGUGAAAGCCCAGAGCUCAACUCUGGAAUUGCCUUUAAGACUGCAUCGCUUGAACAUCGGAGAGGUGAGUGGAAUUCCGAGUGUAGAGGUGAAAUUCGUAGAUAUUCGGAAGAACACCAGUGGCGAAGGCGACUCACUGGACGAUUGUUGACGCUGAGGUGCGAAAGCGUGGGGAGCAAACAGG